GCCAUCAUAGCUUUUGGUUAGAGCACUGGUCUCGUAAACCAGGGGUCGUGAGUUCGACUCUCACUGAUUUGUGUUUCGGCU